AAGAUACUAUAUGAUAGAGAUGGGAGUUUGGGUUGUUGCUGGCCCCUUUAUUGGGGCAUGUGCACACCUCCUCUAUUCAUCCACACACACCUGUGAACUUGUGAGACGGAUAGUAGCCCUCUCGGGGGCGAGGUCCGUCUGCUAUACAUAAACUCCAGUAUAUAAAUUUGAAUGUCAUUUGAUGUAACACAUCUAUAAACUAAGUUUCAACAACGGAUCUCUUGGCUCUCGCAUCGAUGAAGAACGCAGCGAAAUGCGAUAAGUAAUGUGAAUUGCAGAAUUCAGUGAAUCAUCGAAUCUUUGAACGCACCUUGCGCUCCUUGGUAUUCCUCGGAGCAUGCCUGUUUGAGUAUCAUGAAAUCCUCAAAAUAAAUCUUUUGUUCAUUCGAUCGAUUUUAUUUUGGACUUGGAGGUCUGCAGAUUCACGUCUGCUCCUCUUAAAUUCAUUAGCUGGAUCUGUAUGAACUCGGUUCCACUCGGCGUGAUAAGUAUCACUCGCUGAGGACACUGUAAAAGGUGGCCGGGAUUAUUAUGAACCGCUUCUAAUAGUCCAUUGACUUGGACAAACUACUUAUGAUCUGAUCUCAAAUCAGGUAGGACUACCCGCUGAACUUAAGCAUAUCAUAAAGCGGAGGACCCUUACCGAGGAGCGCAAGGUGCGUUUCCCCACCCUUUAAAUUGGUGAGCAAAAUAAUCCCCGGGGGUGAGGGCGGUCAGAAUAAUUCCCGUUUUAAUUGCAUUUUUGGAGUGUAAACACGAGAGGCAAUAAUGAACUUGACUAUUUAAGGGAUCGUCAAGAAAUAAAAGUAAAACUGGAGUUUGUUAUGCAAAGCACUCGCACGGGGCGUCUCCAGCGUCGGGGGUGGCGCGAAAAAUGUUGGAGUCUGAGGGGGAACAGGCAUGCUCUAUUUGCAUCGAUCCGC
rnacentral:rRNA from 1 species